UUUGCUUAAAAUAAAAGGUCCAGCCUGCCCAGUGACACUGUUCAACGGCCGCGGUAUCCUAACCGUGCGAAGGUAGCGUAAUCACUUGUUCUUUAAAUGAGGACUAGUAUGAAAGGCACCACGAGAGUCAUACUGUCUCCUCUUUUCAAUCAGUUAAACUAAUCUCCCCGUGAAGAAGCGGGGAUAACUUUAUAAGACGAGAAGACCCUAUGGAGCUUUAAACGAAUAAUACUUGCCCACCUCUCCUUUAAUUUCAGAAAAAUCUAUUACCUUGGCAUCAUACUUAUAAGUUUUUGAUUGGGGUGAUCACGGAACAAAAAAUAACCUCCGCAAUGAAAGACUCUCCAUAUCUAAGUCAAGAACCACAACUCUACACAUCAACAAAUUGACACCAAUUGACCCAAUUUAUUGAUCAAUGAAC
rnacentral:rRNA from 1 species